CGCAUUUCUACUCCACGUGUCAAAAUGUGUCAUCUCCCCAAGUGGAAUGUGGUAACUUCCGUAAAGGUCCUUCAGGUAUUGCUGUAGCACAACAGAAAGAACAGUGGGCCAGAAGACAGGGAGGUCUGGGUCUAGAAGCCCAGAGACUCCACAUCCCGAGUUACACAUCCCCUUUCUGGUUGCCAUGAGUCAUCACGCACCUUCUGCCCAGAGGAGAGUUUUAUUCAUGCCUGCUUGAAAAGUUUGCAGGAAUCGCCUGUGCCUGCUGGGAAACGCCGUGCAAGUUCCUCCAUCUGUUUCCAAGACUUAACAUUCCUUGGUGACAGUGCAAUGGACGAGUCCAGCCUGGUGGCAGGGCCAUGCUGGGAACUUGAUUUCUAAUGUCAAUCACUGGAAUGCCCUUCUAGUAAGGAAGAGGUGCCCAAGCUUCUGUUUGAGUUAACACAGACCUUUCCAGGUCAGGUGUAGAAUCUGGAGUGAUGAAUGGAAGGGCUGGAAAGGAAAUGAAGACCAGUGUAGAUGUCUCUUUGCAGAAGUUGAACAUUAGAGGAAAAAACAGAAUAAGAUGAAAAUGGAAUCACAAAGGGUAAAAUGACUGGUUUAAGGCUAUAUGUGCAGGAUUAGAGAAGAGAUGGGGUCAAAGGGGUAUUUUUUAAUGAAGAUAAAAUUCACAUAAAACAAAAUUCAGCAUUUUAACUGUUUUUAAAGUGUGUAAGUCAGUGGCUUUUACUCCAUCCACAUGUUGAACAACCAUCAUCACUAUCUAAUUCCAGAAGAUUGUCAUCAUCCCCCUUAUCCAUGAAACAGUCACUCCCUGUCCCCCACUCCUCUCAGCCCCUGGCAAAGACUAAUCUACUUUCUGACUCUAAGGAGUUGUCUAUUCUGGAUGUUGUGUAUAAACUGAAUCAUACAAUAUGUGGCCUUUUGUGUCUGGCUGCUUUCUCUUGGCAUAAUGUUUUCAAGGCUCAUUCAUAUUGUAACAUGUACCAGUACUUCAUUCUUGUUUUGGUUCAAUAAUACUCUAUUGUAGGCUAUACCACAUUUUGUUAUUUAUUCGUCAGUUGAUGGACAUUUGGGAUGAUUCCAUAUUUGGGCUACUAUGAAUCAUGCUGCUAUGAACAUUCAUGUACAUGUUUUUGUUUGAAUACCUGUUUGCAAAUCUCUUCAGUGUAUACCUAAGAGCAGAACUACUGAGUCAUAUGUUAAUUCUGUAUUUAGCUAUUUGAGGACUUGCCAAAUUGUUUUCUAUAGUGAUUGCACCAUACUACAUUCCCACCAGCCAGGUAGGAAGAUUACCAUUUUUUCCACAAGCUUGCCAACACUUGUUAUUUUCCUUUUUUAAAAAAAUUAUGGCCAUCAUAAUGGGUGACCAUAAUAAAGUGGUAUCUCAUUGUGGUUUUGAUUUGCAUUCCCCUAAACACUAAUGAUGUUGGACAUCUUUUCAUAAGCUUAUUGGCUAUUUAUAUAUCUUCUUUGGAGAAAUCUCUAUCCAAUGCCUUUGUCCAUCUUUAAACUGGGUUGUUAGUCUUUUUCUCUUUGAAUUGUAAGAGUUCUUUAUAUAUUCCAGAAACUAGACCCUUAUGAGAUACUGACUUGCAAAUAUUUUCUCCCAUUCUGUGGGCUGUCUUUUGACUUUCUUGACAGUGCCCUUUGGUUCACAAAGGCUUUGAUACUGAUGAAGUCCAAUGCAUCUAUUUUUUUCUUUUGUUGUUUGUGCUUUUGGUGUCACAUCUAAGAAUCUAUUGCCAAAUCCAUGGUCAUGAAGAUUUACUCCUGUUUUCAUUUAAAAGUUUUAUAGUUUCAGUUCCUACAUUUAGGGUAUUGAUCCAUUUUUAGUUCAUUUUUGUAUAUGGUGUGAGGUAAGGGUUCAACUUCUUUCUCUGGCAUGUGUCCCAGGUGACUUUUUCCAUUGUCUCAGCACCAAUUGUUGAAAAGAGGUAAGAGAGAUUUUGAGUAUGAAGUGAUUUUAGUCUUUUCUCUUGAAAAAACAAAACUUUAAAAAUAUACAUUAUUUUAAAAAUUAAUUUUCUGGCUUUUGGUUACACUAUGACUGUAUUCAGCCACUAUUUAAAUGUUUUUCCUCAUCCCACAUUUUAAAGAUGCAGCAAGUUUUCAUGAAUGAUGACCCACCAGAGCCAUGAUGCUGAGCUUUCAGGGAAGCCAACCACCUCUUGAGGUGGUGCUUUUGCAAGAACUAAUUUUCAAAAGCAACAGUAGCUUGAAAUUGCUGACUUUGGGUUGCAUUUGCCUCUGUGUUUGUGCCCCUCUAGUGAACAGCCCCUGUCUUCAGAUAUCCACAGACCUCUGUUCUCUUUCCAAGCCCGACACCCACCCAUUAAGAUUGGCUCUUUGGAGAAAACUUAAUAAACUAAUUCAUGCCAAAUCGUGUAUAACCAAGAGAAAUAAUAGACUUUUGGCAUGAUACCUAAGACUCUGUUUAUCUUAAGCAAAAAGAAUACAGUGUAGGUUGUAGAAUUCUGGCUAUCAUCAAUUCAGCCAAUGCAAGGAGUGAAGACUUUUAAAUCCCCCUAAAGCAUCAGUUCUCCAACUUGGCUACACAUUGUGACCACCCAGAGAGAUUUAGAAAGUACUAAUGUCUGGGUUCCACCCACAGAGAUCCUUACUUAACUGGUCUGGGGUAUGGCUCAGGCAAUAGAAUUUUGGAAAGCUCCCCAAGUGAUUCUACUAUGCAGCCAAGGUGGAGAGUCACUGUCCUGAAGUCAUCAGAGGUUGCCACCUACUCCUCCC
rnacentral:lncRNA from 1 species